rnacentral:rRNA from 1 species
AAGCCCUUUCGGGGUACACGAGCGGCGAACGGGUGAGUAACACGUGGGUGAUCUGCCCUGCACUUCGGGAUAAGCCUGGGAAACUGGGUCUAAUACCGGAUAUGACCUCCUAUCGCAUGGUGGGUGGUGGAAAGAUUUAUCGGUGCAGGAUGGGCCCGCGGCCUAUCAGCUUGUUGGUGGGGUAAUGGCCUACCAAGGCGACGACGGGUAGCCGACCUGAGAGGGUGACCGGCCACACUGGGACUGAGACACGGCCCAGACUCCUACGGGAGGCAGCAGUGGGGAAUAUUGCACAAUGGGCGAAAGCCUGAUGCAGCGACGCCGCGUGAGGGAUGACGGCCUUCGGGUUGUAAACCUCUUUCAGCAGGGACGAAGCGCAAGUGACGGUACCUGCAGAAGAAGCACCGGCUAACUACGUGCCAGCAGCCGCGGUAAUACGUAGGGUGCAAGCGUUGUCCGGAAUUACUGGGCGUAAAGAGUUCGUAGGCGGUUUGUCGCGUCGUUUGUGAAAACCAGCAGCUCAACUGCUGGCUUGCAGGCGAUACGGGCAGACUUGAGUACUGCAGGGGAGACUGGAAUUCCUGGUGUAGCGGUGAAAUGCGCAGAUAUCAGGAGGAACACCGGUGGCGAAGGCGGGUCUCUGGGCAGUAACUGACGCUGAGGAACGAAAGCGUGGGUAGCGAACAGGAUUAGAUACCCUGGUAGUCCACGCCGUAAACGGUGGGCGCUAGGUGUGGGUUCCUUCCACGGAAUCCGUGCCGUAGCUAACGCAUUAAGCGCCCCGCCCGNGGCAGAACGACANGCAAGUCUAA